CAACAAUUGCGUGGCACCGUACCAGUGCGAGUGUCCCACUGGGUGGACGGGGACGCGCUGUCACAGCGCUGUGUGUUCAUCCCCGUGUCUGAAUGGAGGUCGAUGCAUCAGGCCGAACAGAUGUCACUGCAGUUCAGGGUGGAGCGGACACGACUGCUCCAGGAAAAGGAGAACAGGAUACUAUCACUUCUGAAGUCCCGCCUCAGCUCUGUGUGAAUCGUCCUCUGAAGGGAAUUCUUGUAAAGUUAACUGACACUCGAGCAAACCAGUCUCAUCUCUCCACACAAGACAAAGCAAGAACCAUUUUGUAAAAUAAAGCUGUAUUUUUUCAUAUAGAGACUCAACAGUAUUAAAACAUAUGCUGCUAUAUACUUGUACGAUGUGUAAAAAACUAUUGAUGCAAUUGUCCAAUGUAUAUGUGUAAACUAUUCCCAGAUUUUUAUUAAAGCAUAAAAUACCA